rnacentral:lncRNA from 1 species
CUAAAUGGAACCGGGCCUUCGACCUUGCUCAAGUUAGGGCGAGGUUCUCCUCCUGUCCCUAACAGGGCUGUGGGGGCACAUAUGGGCGUUGUAAGGCCUCUCCCCCCAUACGGUCUAAAUAGAACCGGACCUUCGACAUUGCUCAAGUUAGGGCGAGGUUCUCCUCCUGUCCCUAACAGGGCUGUGGGGGCACAUAUGGGCGUUGUAAGGCCUCUC